GAUGAACGCUGGCGGCGUGCCUAAUACAUGCAAGUCGAGCGAACGGACGAGAAGCUUGCUUCUCUGAUGUUAGCGGCGGACGGGUGAGUAACACGUGGAUAACCUACCUAUAAGACUGGGAUAACUUCGGGAAACCGGAGCUAAUACCGGAGAAUAUUUUGAACCGCAUGGUUAAAAAGUGAAAGAAGGUCUUGCUGUAACUUAUAGGUGGAUCCGCGCUGCAUUAGCUAGUUGGUAAGGUAACGGCUUGCCAAGGCAACGAUGCCUAGCCGACCUGAGAGCGUGACCGGCCACACUGUAACUGAGACACCGUCCAGCCCCCUACGCGAGGCAGCCGUAGGGACUCGUCCGCAAUGGGCUAAAGCCUGACGGAGCGACGCCGCGUCAGUGAUGACGGUCUUCGGAUCGUAAAACUCUGUUAUUAGGGAAGAACAUAUGUGUAAUUAACUGUGCACAUCUUGACGGUACCUAAUCAGAAAGCCACGGCUAACUACGUG
rnacentral:rRNA from 1 species